UCCCUGGUGGUCCAGUGGUUAGGAUUUGGUGCUUUCACUCCCCUGGCCCAGGUUCAAUCCCUGGUUGGGGAA